CCGCCCAGGGCAUCCUGAACCAAGCUCUGCAGAUGGACAGGGAAGCCCAGGCUCAGAGAGGGCAGGGCACUUCCCAGGGGUCAAACAGGGAAUCCAGUUCCAAUCUCGACUUCUGCCCUCACCACCCGUGUCCUGACGGGGGCAUGAGGCCCUGAGUCACCCCAAUUCCUAAUCUGGACACUGGGGCCAGCCUGUUGGACAAAGGGAACGCUGGAAGGAAGCAGGAUCUGGGGGCGAAGGGCUGCACCCUGUGGUAGGUCCAUGACGAUGACCGUGGUAGUGUUUCUUGAGCACCUACUAUGCGCGGGCACCGCUCUGGGCAGCUUCCGUGAGUUCACCUGGGUGCAGGCCCAGGGUCGGCCAGGGCCAAGACAUCUACCAGGUGGCAGGCUCGGAGCUAGUGACCUGUGUCCUGGGCACUGUUGGCUGUGCUCACCACCCGUCCAUCAGGUGAGCAGGCGGAGCCCAGGAGGACCAGCCGCUCAGUGGGAAGAGGACACAUCCAGGGGACUGGACCUGGGGACUCCAUACACGCGGCUCAGCCCAGCUGACCCGUCUGAUAAGUGGGGACGGUGGCACUCACACCCCAGGGCGCCAGGCGCGCGGGGGCAGGCGUCACGAUGGCGCAGUGGUGGAGUAUGUGGCCCUGAACCCGGGGGCUUCCCCUCUGUCCCUUGUUAAAGGACAGGACAGCCCCACCUCCUUGAGCGGCAGGAAGACGGACGAAGUGACAAAGCCUCUGGGCCAGGCAUUCUGUGGGCCCUGGACGCACUGACUGGACGUCACCUAAGACGGAUCUGCUGGGAUGGGGCAGGACAGCCCUCCCCGUGGACAGGGGCCAGAGGCCUCCACGUCCUCAGCUGCCCUGUCCCGUCCAUGGGGUACGGCCAGCCUCACCUGCCUCCUCGAGGCCCAGGUCUGAGGACGGCUGAGAGCAGUUGCUAUGGCGUCUCCCCCGAGCUCGCCUGGGGACUCGGUCCCUUCUCUGCCCGAGCCGCCGGCUCCCCCUCCUCACAUCCCUGCCUGGUGGUGCCCGGCCGGACUCACCUCUGCACUUGGUAUUUGCAGUGCCCACCCCUGGGGCACCCCAGCCCGGUGCCAGCCACCUGGUCCACUGGCCCCAUCCUCCGCAUCUGGACACCCGUGGGCACCCAGGGCCCUCGCUAGGCCACCCCUCCAGGAGCCCGGGGCCUCACUGCCCUCCUGUCACACACCAGCUGUUCUUCACACGUCACCCCAGAUUCUGGCCACCGGGAGGUGGGGAAUUCACGAAAGGGACUUGGAGGGAGGACACACUGCCUCUCAGACCCUUAAUGAAGCCUACGAAGUUGGGAUCCACGCACCCGCGUCCUCUCGAACCUCACGGCUCAGUACUAAGUUCUCACUUGGUUCACCACGGCGUUGUGAUGUCUGAGAACAGCGUCCGCGUGAGGGCUGCGGGCUGGACGGACCCGGGGGUGGACGCAGGGCUGCAGGAGCCCAGGUCGGUGGAAUGAGUGCGCCCGGCUGCCAACCCCCGAAGUGAGCUCAUCAACGUCGUCAGACGCCCCCGGGGAUCUCCCCGCCGCUCUGUCUGCCGCACGGGCCUCUUUCUUUUUGUCUUUUGGUGCCAGGGGUUGAACCUCUGUUUUAUUUAGAGACAGGGUCUCACUGAGCUGCUGAGGCUGGCCUUGAACCUGUGACCCUCCUGCCUCAGCCUCCCGAGUCUCUGGGAUCACAGGUGCGCGCCAGGCCUGACCCCCUCCCUCUUUGUUCCCUGCGAGCCCCUCGACCUCCCGCCUACUCCUUCCUGCGUUCCUCCUUGGACGGCCCAUAGCUCUGCCCCUGUGCCCUGCUCCCAGCCUCCACGGCUGUCCCCUCCUUCUCGAGGACCUGGAGCUGAAUGCGAGCCCCUCCCUGCCCACGCCUGCCCAGCCCCACCCAGGAGGACCCCAGUCCCUGAGCAGCCGCCCCUCCUGAGCCCUGACAGGCGCCUCCUCUCCAAUGCCACAGGAGUCAGGGGUCUCGGAUUCAUGGCCCUGGCCAAAGGCGGCUGCCCCGACACCUAGACACCAGCAGGUCUCGUGGAACAUUCCAGAACCUCAGCCCUGGCCUUCCACUGGCCACGCGGGCUGAUCCACCCCGACGACACCUGCUCCUCUCUCCAGCCACUUUGCCCCCCAGGGCCUGGGUCGGUUCCUCACCCAGGGGCUUCCUUCAGGCCCAGAGCCCCCUCCUCAGGGAGCACCUCGCAAGGCCUCCAGGUCGCGCCCACCACCCUAGAGACCCCUCGCCCGUGUCCAGGCCCCGACACCUACGCACUGUGAAACUCAGCUGGAAAGCUCCAGGUGGCCCAAGGCCAGGCCAUGCCCCAGGGUGACCCCACCCCAAUGGUCUUAUUGGCCACCAGGAAGGCGACCCUCCUAGGUGGCCCAGACCAGCCUCAAGGGAAGACAGCGCCACCGUGGACCAUGGGCCCCGCCCCCCACCUGCUGACCCUGCCCACUCCCCCUUCACCCAUCCCAACCCGCCACUGCGCCCACGUCCCCCAGAACUGUCCACUCUCGCUGGCCUGAGCAGCCACUUCCUUCUGGCCUCUGCCCUGCUCUCCACAGGCAGCAGGAGGGACCCUGUCAGACAGGGCUUCCGGUGAGCACUAGUGCCCUGGGCCACAUCUGUCACCAUCUGGGGACAUCUGCAGUUGUCAUGAUGUAUUGGGGAUGGGGCAGGGGCUGCUCAACACCCCACUGCACAGGACACUGGAUGAUCCGCACCAGGCGCCAAUGGUGCGGAGGUGGAGGAGCCAGACCUCUGGUCCCUCCUGUGUUCAACUCACCAUGGUCCCACCUCACCUGCAGGAAAACCCACAUCCUCUCCCACAGUCACCGGGCCGAGGGCCAUCCAGGCCCGCUGGCCCCUGACUGCAUCGCCUUCAAGUCUCCCCUGCCCCCUCGGCCAGUCCUUAUCUGUCCACUGCGAUGGGAGCUUCCCCACCCCAGGGCCUUUGCGCCUGCCGUUCCCACCACCUGGAACACUCUGUCUGGGACAUCUGCAUGGCGGCCCCUCCUUCCCUCAGGGCUCUCCUUCCUCCGGCAGCCUGGCUCGGUUCCCUCCCACCUCACGUCUGAAUUGUCCCCUGCUGAAACGGGUGAGGGGCCGCUGCUCUGCUGUGCACUUGGCCUCCCCUGGGCCUGGCGCCCCACAGAGGCUCCUCCAGUGCUCACUGCAGGGGCACGACCUGGCCACCGCCCGAGUAGGUGACUUCUGGAGACCAGCUCAGCGCACCGACAGUGGGACCCCCCUGCUGCGGGCACGACUCUGUAGCUCCAGGUCCCCAAGAUCUGAAGCACCCACAGAGCUUCCCCCCGGCCCGCAGCAGCUCCCAGGGGCUCCCCCAGGCCCGGCCGCGGGCGGGGGCAGGUCCAGGGCUGCCCGUGGGGUGGUCCCUGCGGUGCCCUCGGGCACAAGAGGCUGGAGCCCCCGGCUGCAGCGCAGAAAUAAAGGUGGACGGCGACGAGGUUCAGGAAGAGCCACGGGAAGUGACCGGUUCCCUGAGGACGGGCCCCAACCUGCAGAAUAAAGGGCGACCUUAGAGAAACGCGACUAGGACCCGCCGGCGAGCGGGGACGCAGUGGGAGAACCGGGCUCGGCUGUGACCUCACCGUGUAACUGUCACCGGCGCCCAUUCUUAGGCGCGGCGUGGACGUUCAGGUAUUCACACAAAGUCGUAGCCCCGGGACAUUGCAUUUGACCUCCCAACGUCACCUCGAGUCAUUUCUGCAAAUGACAAGGUGACCUCCGCGGGACCGGGCCUCUGCCCCAGAACCACCUUCGCAGAGACCAGGUGCAGCCCCCCCACGGCUCCAGCGGCUGAUUCGCAAAUCGGCGCGUGAUUGGUGGGUCCUGACCACGUGACUCCGCCCAGCCACGCCCCCAGCUGCCGGGGUCCGGCCCCUCCCCCGGGACACGUGGCCCCGCAGCUGGUCCGCGUCCCACGAGGCAGCCCGGCGGCUCGUCUCUAAGUGACUGGAAACACUGAGGCCACGUCGUAGCGACCGAUUGUCAGGGGCUGAAACACUGAGGGGCUGCUUCCCUCGCUGACAGGGUGGUCGCAGUUAGGGCAAGCAGGCCUGGAAAGGGACAGCUUAAGUGACCGAGGGCCCACCAGGCCCAGGGGCUGCCACUGCUGGGGACCCUGCUGCCGGCGCCCAGCUCCGAGGGGCCACUGCAGGCUGGGAGGAGAGGUGGCCACUGACGUGCAGGAGUGGCGGGCAGCGGAGGGCAGGAGAGAACCCCAGGCAGAGCAAGCUGCCCAGGCCAGGUGUGGAGGAGUCGGAGUGUAGACAAGGCCAGGUCUUCUAGAACCUUCCAAACCCGAGUGGCCAAAGAGACCACAUAUCUCCACAAAACUGGGUUUUGUUUAUAAGGUUCUUUUUUUUUUUUCUUUUUUUGGUACCAGGAAUUGAACUCAGGGUCACUCCACCUCUGAGCCACGUCCCCAGACCUGUUUUGUAUUUUACUGGGAGACAGCGUCUCACUGAGUUGGCUAGCGCCUCGCUGUUGCUGAGGCUGGCUUUGAACUCGCCAUUCUCCUGCCUCAGCCUCCUGAGCCGCUGGGAUUACGCGCGCCCGGCUGUUCUAAUUUGAUUUAAAGAUCAGGACUUUUCACAUAGGGCCUCAGAAUUCUGUCUCCCUAAAGAAAUGGAAAGGUCGGGCCACAUGCCUCUCUGCAGGCAGGCUGCCCAGGGCAGGGCUGGCUCUCUCCUGGGCACCCGAGGCACCGCCAGCCGCCUCACUCUUCUGCCGCGAGGCCUCCCGGGCCCAAGGCAGCUGUUUGGACGCCCUGUGCUAACACUUGCCUUUGAGGAUGCUGGGGAAGGGCUCAGAGAGCCUGAGCAAUGCUCCCGGGGUCACGCAGCAACCCCAAGGCAGGCGGGGACUCAGGCUACCGACUCCUCCCCCAGAAGCCCACCCGGGGUCCAGGAGCCGCUGACCCUGGCCCUGAGCCGCGGAGGAGCAGGAGGCAGGUCAGGGAAGGCCCUGUCCUGUUUAGUUUUUGUGGUCUCGUGAGUAACCGAAUGGAAAAAAACA
rnacentral:lncRNA from 1 species